UCCUCACAUAAACACUGCCAAUCAUAACAAUCACUCACCACCAUCAAUUCCACCACGAAGAACAAAACCACCACCACCUUACUACAUCCACUCUCAUCUCGUUUUAUCACUCACCUUCCGAACGAAAAACACCACGACGACGAGCAACACGAUGGUGAGCAACACGACAGCGACGAGCAACUCAACCACCAUCUUCUUGAAGUUGCGAUAUCUGUUCUUCAGAAGUUUGUAAGAUGGAACAUUUCAUAGAGCAAGAUGAGCCAUCUAACCAUCUAACCAUGGAUUAUCAACGUCAAAGUAGCAUGGAUCAUCAAUGCAAAGUAGCAUG